AGAUCAUAGGCACGUACUAUGCGCUCAAAGAAAACAUCACCAUCUGAAACUUACCUUGUUGUGUCGGUGUCAACAUUUGUUCUUUGUUUCUUCAUCGUCAAGAAACCUCUCUGAGUGUGAUCUGAAUAAUAGUGUGCAUGCCUUUAGGGUUUAUUUUGUGCUUUUAUGAUUUACGACGCGCUGUAAAAUUAUUCAUUACAAUGUUUCGAUAUUGCAGUUGAUGUAUUAUGGAUUAUUUUACUGUCUAAAAGAAAAAAAAAAAUCUUCAAAUAUUAAUUACUUUAUAAUAAAAAAUAAUUAGGAAUCUUUUAAAUUAAAAAACGUUGCCACUCUGUUUUUUUAUCGUCAAUUCGAUUUUCAUAUUAAAAGCACAAAGAACUAGUAGCAGAUCCAUAAUUUUUUUUUAGUCGGGAUCAGAACGUAAUUAUAAUAUUAAUAAUAAAAAUUCUUUAUUAAAAUAUAAAAUUUUUUACAAAAUCAUUAUUAAUAUAUAAAAGGAGCUAUUUGGGGCUCUUGGGAGUGUCUACAUCAGCCAGUUUAAAUUAGUCUAAAACGAUGCCACGUCAACAGUUUUAAAAUGUUUUUAACCUAAUAAAAUUACAUUAACGCUUAAACAAUAUGUAACUUUGGGAUGUGUUAAUAAGAAAAAGCGCAUUAAUCAAUAACACGCCAGCAAUUCAAUCCCAGAUCUUCCCACCAUACAAGAUCGAUCUCUCUUCCCCGACUACUACGUAACGUCCGACGAUCGACCUUCCUCAUUAUUCAUAUUAUGUAAUCUGACGCUUUAAAUCAGGUCCAUCAAUACAUCAGUUAAUCUUCCUUCCUCCUCUCUCUUGUGCAAUCUCCUUCUGGAUUGAAAAACGACGAUGGCCCUUUGCUCCACCACUGAACUGAGAAGGUCAGACAUAGCAAUUUGUUUCCAUUUUAUUCUAUCUAACCGCCAAUUCUCUAUUCUGUUUAAGGAAAUCCUUUAUUGGUAUGACCAGAGAAGUGAAAGAAAUUUUUGGAAUGACUCAGAAAAGCCUCGAAGAAGUUUACGAUGGAGUUAAAACCAGUUUACCCUUAAAUACUGAGAAAGCCAGGUCAUCAAAUGAGAUCAACAUCAGGCAGAAAAAUCGCACAACACUAUCUCUCCCCUGGUCCUCUCUUUUGCAAUAUGAUUACAAAUAUAACGACCCCAAGUAACUGUGCUGAAGAAUCGUAUCUCAAAUCCCUUUUGGAAGUGGCGGUAUCUAAAGUCUAUGUAGAACGAAGAUUUGUUUCCAGGUUUUCUAACCAUCCUUCUUCUCCGAACCAUUUUAAUAAAUCUGAUCUGAUGUGGGUUUUUCAGAAACAAAUUUAAGGGAAGUGUUGGAACUUGGAAUGAAUCCACAAAAGAGGAUGAACAGCUUCAAACAUGGCGAGGGAGAGGUGACCAGUUUCACCCCAGAAUUAUGCUUCUCAACUUAUUGUUCAUGGCAACAUAACCUUAGGAAAGGUAAAGCGUCAACUAUGACACUUACGUAUAUCUAAUAGACCAUGAUCAUGUAAACAUUCUCAGAGUGAAUACAAAAAGUCAGCUUCUUUGGUCAUUGGGUAAUGAACAUGAUUUAUAGAGACAUUGUAAUCUUCUUAUAUCGGAUCCUUUGAUUUACUUGCUUUUCAUGUUAGUAGAUAUAUUUAAGUGUCUAUUAAAGAUUAUAACCUCACACACAUUUCUAAUAAAUUAAGUCGUAUACAAGUACUUUUCCAAAAAUUAAAUAUUUUUAAUAGGAAGGAUAUGUAUAUGUAUUUCUGAGAUAGUUUGGUAUCACUCAGUUCUUGUGAAAAAGGAAGAAGAGUACAGAGUUUAUGCAAAAUGAAUUCCAGGACAUCAUCUUCCAACUUUCUAAAUUCAAAGAAACAUUUUGACAAUGCGAUGAUCUUUCUAAAAAAUAAAUUAUUAAUUCUGUUUCGCUUAGAAAUAUUUAUCUUAUGUUUCACGCUGCUUGAUCAUACACCUAAAAUCACAGUGGUUUUUUGUUUGCUGAGAGCAGAUUCGUAAUAUGAACCUUUAUUGAUUUAUGGAUCUUUGGGGGAUAAAAUUAUUAUGAAAGUUUGAUUAAAUAUAGCAAACAUUUCUACACUAGAGCUCUCAAGUUUGGUUUUGGGUAUCUUUUGGUUUCAGGUAUGGGAGCUUGGCGUAGAUGGUUGCAGGAAGAAGAAAAACAUGGUCUUGCUACAGAUGGAAGCUCCAAACCCUAGGCCAAAGGGCUCAAUCUCACCUUUCACUUGAGUACGAGGUUGAUUUAUGUUCCCCGAGCCAGUUUAGUCGUAUGUUCAGUCACAAAUAUAAUUAGCUCUUAAACCUUUUCUCAUGCUCUCUUACAUUGUUCCCUUUUUCUUCUCUGUUCCUUUAGAGAAAUCCAACGGGCCUCUCCAUCAUCUCUUGAUCUAAGUUUUUGGUACGGAUAUAAUGGGUGAUAAUCCAGCCGCCUCUCAGCUUUUCCAGCACUAUAGGAGGUGCGAUUUGUGUUCUAUUCUACAUCUUUUUGAUUAAACUCUCCUGGUACGUAUGUUAUAUAUCUCCUUUUUCAUUUUAUGUGAAUAAAACAAAUUAGACAUUACUUGAUUAAGCUUUGGGAUUUGUGUUAGAGUACUGUUGCUAUAGCAUAUUCGUGCUUCCAAUUUUGGAACCGCAGCCAAACUGAGACUGAGAGAGAUGAAGUCGAUUCAAAAGCCUUACCAUGCUCCACCAAUGAUCUACAAACUAUGGCUCAUGUCCACCGUACCAUAUAUCUUUAUUUUAUUGAAGGUAGCUCAUGUGUUGAAGGUGUCAAUAUGUUAUGUAUAAUGUUCCCAUAUUUUCUAUCUAACUUCCUUAUCCUAGAUGACAGUUUAUAAUUUGUGCAGUGACAUCGCAUGAGGGUAGGUGAAAUGGCAAUCAAAUACCGGUUAGUGACAUUUUGAUUUGAUGCUUUAACUCCAGAUUGUUCUUCUAUUUGACUCUCAUAGAUUUGCCAAUGGUUUAAUGACCGAAUACCUAAUAAAACCCAUGCAUUUCAAAUGUUCCUUACCCUCCAUUCUUUAUGUUUUAUACCUGUCCGUCUACAUUGGUUAGUUGGUUUAAAUGAAUUUGGGAGUCGUAAAGUUAUACCGGAAACUCUUGUGAAAUGGUAUGCAGUCUAUCUUAGCUUUUUAAAACCAUGUAAAUUAGUAUUAUUCAUGUUGUAUCUCAUGUCCGAUCAUAAUUGUGUCACUAAUGAUCUAAGAUGAAGAUUUUCCCACUCAGUUAAAUACAUACUUCCCAAAAUUAUAUAAAACUGUAUACGACAUUUACUCUUAAACUCUAUAGACGAGAAUGUACCAUCUCUAACUUUUGAAAAAUCUACUAAAGUUUCUAAAAUACAUACUUCCCAAAAUUACAUAAAACUGUAUACGACAUUUACUAUUAAACUCUAUAGACGAGAAUGUACCAUCUCUAACUUUUGAAAAAUCUACUAAAGUUUCUAGAUUAUAUCUCUAAUGCAACAUUAUGCAAAUUUCAGUUUAAGAGGCAAACUUUCAUAUGCCAUUGCAUUUAGUUUAAACAAAUAUUAAAGGAAUUGAAUAAUUUAUAUAUCUCAACCCGCCCGUAGGGCGGGCUAAAUCCUAAUACUCUAUAAAAACACUCUACGGUCUUUUGUAUCGUGAAAUCUUUUCAUGAUAGACUCAUUUGUAAUAGUUUAGAAUACAAUUAUUUAAAAAUUGAUCUCCCAUCUGAUUGCGUCAAUCUGUCUUCACGAUUUUCAUUGCUGAAAAUCAUCUCUCCACAGUUUCAGUAUCAACAGACAAAAUCAAAAUCAACUUCAAAAGCCUAUAAACUAAAGGAAAUGUCAUAUGUUUUCGAGUUUCCACCAACAUACGAGAAAAUUCUCCAAGAUCUUGUAAAUGAGUAAAUCUUUCAUCACUUCAAACAUUAUCAAUGUAAAUAUCUAAUUGUUGCUCAAGAGAUAUGCACUCUUCAAAACUAAAAUCAGAUGGGUAGAACUUCGAUAGCCUCAUCAACUUUGAUAAAACCAAGCAGGAUUAAACCUUUUUAAUACGCCUCCUAUCAAUGUUUGUUUGAAAAUUUGACAAAAAAAAACGUGGGCUAAAAAGUUAAUUACAUAUUUGGUAACCAAAAAAAAAUAUUAUGUGUAGCCCAUUAAACUAAACCCUAACUAUAAAUAUUUUUUUAAUCUUUCAUUCUCACUUUUAGAAACUCUAGCCACAUUUUUCUCUUCUCCUUCUCUCAGCCAUGCCAACCUCUCCUUCUCUCUCUCACCUUGGCUCUCUUUUUCUUCCUUGGCUACUUCUCUCUCCUCUUUCAUCUGCUUCUCUUUUCUUUUCUCUCAAAACCCUAGCCGCCGCCUCUUCCUUCCAUGACGUUUUCCCGGUGACCCGUGAGGAACCGCGCGACGAAAUACCUAUCAAAUUGAAGCCCCGAGAGUCGACUUUCUAAGAAAACCAAUUUCAUCCAGAUCGGAGAUCUGUGCCAGGAAUUAUCGCCGUUUUUAUGCUGGAUGUCAGAUCGCCCAAAAAGGAGGUAAUAGUGAAUCUUCUUCCAUAAAGACAUCUGUGAGGACUUAUAGUUUCACCCUCUCUUUCAUAUGCAUAGUUAUUUUUAAUUAGUCUAUUCUUAAACUAAAGAUUAAUUAGAUAUGAUUGUUAGGGUUGCUAGAAUUGAUUAGGACUUGGAUCCAUGUUGCCUGAUUGUUGAUUGCCUGAUUGUUGAUGAUUGUUGGUUGCUGGUAGAAUGUUAUACAAGAAAUCUGAAUAUGGAUCUGGAUUUAUGGAACCCUAAAAUAUGGAUCUGUGUGAUGUUAACCUGUUUAAUGUUCUUUUGUUACAACUUGACAUCAACAAAUGUGCAUCUUAAUAAUGGAAUGAAUUUUAACUAAAAAGAAUGAAUUGGCUGUUUGGGUGGAUAAUGUGUGGAUAAUAGAACUUGUUAGGUCGCUGGCUCCUGGAUUUGGGGGUCAGUGUUUUUUGCUGGCUGGGCUGAUGUCUAUGUAACCAUACAGCAGCCAUCGUUGGCAGUGGAUAGAGCAAUCCACCAAGUGUUUAAAUAGCAUGUAUGUGUGACCAUUGGUAACAGCAUGUCUGAGUGAUUGCUGGGACAGUCUGUAUGACUGGGUGGAAUGGACCUGACUAAUGGGCCGGUGAUAGACUAGUCACUAGUUGGGACUAUUCUGGUUUUGUCUUUUCGGGGUGGCAUGGAAUUCCGAAGGACUGCACAUUAUAACUGGUUUUGAUCAAGACCCGCUGUUUGGUAGUUGUAUGUUAGGGUUACCCUUUUUUGUUGUGUGAUUGAUUGUUAGAACCAAACUUGAAAUGUUUUUUUGUAAUAUUUUAUGUUAUUUGGGUUUGUUUUAAGAUUAGACUUUUUAAAUAUAAUUCAUAUUAUGUCAAAAAAAAAAAUAUAAUUCAUAUUAAUCUGAUGGUGUUGUGCACCUCCUUAAAGUCCAUCCUCGUUGAGUAAUCCCCAUUACUCAUCCCUCAUUUUCCUUUUGUUCUUUCAGGUAUAGAUAGUCAACUAUGUUUAUGUUGUUGAUUGUUAUCUGGACGUUUUCGAUCUUGACAAACUUGAAGCUCAUCAAUUGGACCAAACCAGAUGUUUUACCGAAUGUGGUUUAGAUGGCCAACCUAACAUUCCUUGAUUUUCUUACUUUUCUAGGAAGCUCGGGAUAGGGAUAUUACAAUUUUGAUUAUUAUAAUUUAUUCUUCUUAAUUAAUAUGCCACGAUUUCAAAUAUAUUUUGCAAUAUUUCAGGUUCGUUUUUUAUUUAAUAUAUGUUUUGAAAGCAUUAUUCAAUAUUAUAGUAUUGAAUUAGUUUUAAAUACUACUAUUACAGAUGUUUUCUACGUAAUAUAAUAGUAUUCGAUUAGUUUUGUAAACUUGGAAACUGUAUACACGUUCAUGUUACAUCAUAUCAAACCAUAGUUUCUUCUCGGAUCAAAAUAGGAAACAAACUUCUAAACAACCAACCCAUCCGUAGUACUUAACAACAGGAAAGACUCAAGUCAUAUAUACUUGCCCAACUCCCAACUUUGCUUCAAAAUCUGAAGUCACGCGAGAAAAGACAGUUUAAGUAUUUGUUUUGUUGUUUUGGUUUUUUGUAAUGACUAGAUUGACAUCUUCACGCUUCACACGAGCUGGAGAUAUAAUGUUUGUCAGUCCGUUGUUAGCACACUCGCAUUAAUUUCGCUCAGUUCAACUUCAGCAGUAAACAUCUUCUUAACUAUAUAUGAUUGAUUAUUUUGUCAUUACAAAAAACCAAAACAAGAAUCUUCAAAAUGGUUUCUUCUACUCCUUCCUCUCUUAAAGCGAGCAUCGACCGCACUAUACGGGAUCGACUUCUUUCUUUUCCGGCUCAAGACUUGUCUCCAUCUCUGCUUGAAUUCUAUUUUGGUUGUUAUGCGAAUCCGUUUUAAUCAAAUAGUCGUUCCUUAUUCUCUCCUUGGGGAGUUCAUGGGUGUAGUAUAUUAGUAGGUUAGUUUUUUAGUAUGUAAUAGGCUUCUUUUUGGUUAUAAAAUCUUAACAUUAGAACCAAAAAAAACCAAAAAAACCAAAACAAAAAACAUGAGCAUCCUGAUACAGAAUAAGUGAAUAACCUUACUGCCUUUCCUCAAAGGGAAAUUAAGUACCGGGAUCUUAUCAUUCAGACUUUUUACGGGAAAGCGGCCUAUUCGUGCUUCAACUGGCCUCCCUGGUACGAUUUGCUGCCUGUACUUUUGAGCUGUGCCUACACAUACCUCAACUCUUAAAAAUUUAAAUUUUCAUGUCUGUACUGAUAUUCGUUUGGCUAAUUCAUGCCUUGAGUAAUUCCCCGUUAGUCAACUCCGUUAAGCUGUUAACGGAUGCUGACUCAUCUGCCAUGUAAGAAUCCCCGUUGGAACGGAAAUCAGAAAACGAUGUCGUUUUAAAUGAAACUGGGUUUCAAAUUUUUUUUGCAAUUUCAGGAAUUCGAACCCUUGACCUUUUUGCGUUAGAACCGACUGCAGAACCAGUGGACCAUGUGUGUUAAUUAGUAAACCAUCACCAGUUACCAAAUAAAGCUUCUUCACAAUUGUCAUUAAACAAAACAAGUAAUACGACGUCGUUUUAUGAAGCGGGUAUUUAAAAAGAUGUGCAAGCUCUAGGACUCGAACCUAUAACAUGCUUGCGAUUAAACCGGCUCCAGAACCAGUAGGAUAUGUAAGAUAAUCGAUAAAUCAUUGCACACUUAAUUAAUAUAAACUCUCACAAUCCUUGUUAAAAAAAAAGAAUCGAUCUUCUUCUUCCUUCCUCUUCGAAAGGUUCUUCCUUCGAAUCAAUCCCGAUUUUGGACGACGACGGUGGCAGCUGUGGUUUAGCUUGGUGAAAUUGGUGGGAGGUUGGAAUAAUUUGAGGCAAAUUCCGAGUCUGAGGACUCAAUUUCCCUAAAAAAUGAGGUAUUUUGAAAAUCUAGGGUUUAGGUUUUCGAUCUGAUUUUCAAAUUUUAUAUUGGUCUUCAAUUUUUUAAUCGUUUGGAAUAUUAAAUUCGUGUCUUAAGCUAUUGUAUAUUCAUAUUUCAGCGACAACUUGGAUUGUGUGUUCAUCAUAUAUUAUGGUGGAAAGUUUUUCCCCAAUUUUGAAUAUAGACAUCGACGAAGAAGAGGAAGAAGAAGAUCGAUUCUUCUUAAAACACAUAAAAGUAAAAGAACGUCGUUUUACUUGUUUUUUUAAUGACGAUUGUGAAGAAGCUUUAUAUUAUUAACUGGUGAUGGGUUUGUUGAUUAGUACAUAUGGUCCGCUGGUUCUAAAGUCAAUUUUAAUGAAAACAGGUCACGGGUUCAAAUCCCUGAGAAUGCAAUUUUUUUUUAACCCAAUUUCAUUUAAAACGACGUCGUUUUCUAAUUUCGUUCCAACGGGGAUUCCUACGUGGCAGAUGAAUCAGCAUCCGUUAACAGCUUAACGGAGUUGACUAACAGGGAAUUAGUCAAUGCAUGAAUUAGCCAAACAAAUGUCGGUACAGGCAUGAAAAUUCAAAUUUUUAAGAGUUGAGGUAUGUGUAGGCACAGCUCAAGAGUACAUGCAGCAAAUCGUACCAGGGAUGCCAGUUAAGGCACGAAUAAGCCGCUUUCCCGACUUUUUACUAAUAGCUUUUGUUUUGGGUUUUGCGUGUCGAAUAUGAUUUGUGUGUUUAACAAGUCAUCAGGGUUUUGGGUCUUUUUCCGUAGGGUUUUGUCUAUUCCUUUUGCAAGUAGUCAAGUCAAUAUCAUUCAGUCUUUUUUAUUUAUUUAUUUAUACAUCAAUAAAAAUUAAAAAGAUAAAACUCAAGUUUCUCGUAAUGGGGACUGACAUCAAUUGCGCGUUGCUAAAACAAUAUUUCUUCGUUUCAUGUUAUGUAACUAGGUGUUUAGCCCGCGACUUGCGCGGACCGAAAAGUUUCAUUAAAACUUAAAAUAAAAUUUUAUGUCAUAAAUCAAAAAUAAUUAGAUCAAGAAUUUGAUACAUACAAAAUUAAAAUAAAGCUAACCUAUGAAAGUAAUCAUUGUCUAACCUUAAAAACUUUAAAAUCAAUACUAAUAAGUGUAUGAAAUCAAUAAACACAAAUUAAAAUAAGAUUAAUAUAAAUUAUUCAUCUUGUUCUCUUUUUAUCUUUUAAUUUUUUUUCUCUAUCAUUUUUUUCUUUCUUUCUUUUUUUGUUUUUUUGUUUUUUUGUUUUUUUUUUCUUUAUUUUCUAUGUCUUUUUUUUUUUACUUUUUAUUCUGCUGGUUUUUCUUUUUCACGUCUUCUUCUUCUCCUCCACAUCUUUUCCUUUUUCUUCUCACACAUCUUUUGAUUUUCUUUUCUUCCAGGUUUUAUUCCCUUUUUUCUUCUUCUUCAAUGUUUUAUUAUACUAUUUCUUCUUCUUUUUUUCUUUUCCUUUUUCAUUGUUAUCGUCUUCUUCGUUAUCACCGACUUCUUACUCUUCUGAUGUUUUUCGACUUUUACUUCAUCUUCAUAUUCUUCUACUUUCUCCAAUUCCUUAUCUUUUAAGAUUUUCAUCCAAUUUUUUCUCUUUCCUAUCUUCUUCUUCUACUUUGUCUUCUAAUUUAUUUUUUUUCUCCUUGAACAGAUUCUUAUUCCUCUUCUUCCAAUUAUUCUUCCUUUCUCCAAAUUCUUCAUCAUAUUUUAAAGAUCUUUGUCUUAUCUGUCUUUUUACUCCUCUCAUGGUUUAUAUUUUCCUUUUUUUAGUUUUUUCCUUAUAUUUUUGAGUUCUUUUUUAUCGUUAUUUGUUUUCAAANNNNNNNNNNNNNNNNNNNNNNNNNNNNNNNNNNNNNNNNNNNNNNNNNNNNNNNNNNNNNNNNNNNNNNNNNNNNNNNNNNNNNNNNNNNNNNNNNNNNAUUACUUCUUCUUCUGAUUAUCUUUUUUCUUCUCCAAUUGGUCAUUUAAUUUUUGUUGUUCAUCGUCAUCGACCUAUCCGACAAUUUUUUUUAUCUUACUUGUUCACUGUAUUAUUUUUUGUUCAUAUUAUCGUUGUUUUCUUAUUCUUCUCCUUUUUCUUUAUUUUUUAGCUUUUCUAUUCUUUGUUUUUUCCUUCUUAUCUUUCAUUGUUUUUGACUAUUUCUUCUUAUGUAUUUUAUUCAUCUUCUUUGACUUCUUGAUUUUUUUUCAUUCUGUUUUUUCUUCGUUUUUUCUGUUGAUUUUUUUUGUUUUAUUUGUCUGCCCCUUCUUCUUUGUUUUAUUUUAUUGUCUUUUUAUUCUCUAAAUUCUUAUUCUUCAACAUCUUCUACUAUUCUUCUUUUGGUUUUAUUAGCCGUUUUUAUCUUCUGCUUUUUACUUCUUCUUGAUCAUUUUUGUCCUAUCCAAACAUUUUUUCUUUCUAAUUUUUGUUUGUCUUUUUUGCAUCUUGACUUUCUUCUUUUUUUUUAUUUUCUUUUUCAUCGUCGGAUUUUCAUCUUCUUAUACUUUAUUUUCUUCAUCUACCAUUUUUGUUCUUCUUUUUCUUUCAGUUUUCUUCUUCAACUUUGAGUUCUUCAUCUCCUUAUCAUUUUUCUUCUUCACUAUUUUUUGUUACCCAUCUUGAUCUUAUCGUUCAUGGUCUAGGACUUUUUGUUCAUUUUAUCCUCAUUUUUUUUACGUUUUCGUUAACUCUAUGUUCUUCUAUAUGUUUCAAUUUAUCUUUUUGCUCUUCUUUUUCUACUUCGUUUUUCCCUUUUUUCCUUUUUCUGUUUUCUUUUUUCGAUUUUUUCCUCUGCGUCCUGCUAGUGUAUUUGGCCUCUCUUACAUUACUCCAAAAAUAAACAGAAUUCAGAAAGCCAUACUUAAAACAAACAAAAAAAACAAAAGAUUCAUUAGACAAUGAAGAUGAUUUAUGAUAUAUUGACAUGGUUUUAAUCAUGUUAAGUAAGGAAGAAUAACUGACAACACAAAACAACAACAUAUAAUCGAGGAACACUACUACUGGUACUGAAAACGAAAAAAAACAAUAGAAAAAAUCGAAAAAUUGAUUUAUAAAAAAUAAAGAUGGCAAACAAUACAACAAAAAGCCGACCAAUGUAGAAACCAAACCACAAUUGAGCUUAAGAUACAUUUAAAAAAAGUAAUAUAUUUAUAUACAGUUCUCAACUUAAGCUAAGAUUUCCCACAUCACAUGUAUAUUUUUUUCCAGAUAAUCUCGCUCAACAGAUAAUCCGAUUGAAAUUAUCUUAAUAUUAUCAAAGUAACUAAAAGUGGCAGCAAAAUUGUUAUACAAACUACAAAAAUAAAUUAAUUAAUUAAGGAUAUUUAAAAAAGUUUUUAUUAACGAAUAAAGGGGAAUUAGUUACCUAGAUUGAAUGAGAGAGAGACCUUAUAGCGAAAAAUUUACUUUGCAUAUAUUAUAUAUGAUAUGAUUUUAAAUGUUUUUUUGAUUAAAUUCCAAUUUUUAAAUUUUUUCGUUAUUUUCUAUUUUAAAUAUUUUUUGAUUAAAUUUCGAUUUUUAAUAUUUUUUAUUAAAUUUAAAUGUUUUUUGAUUAAAUUUCGAUUUUAACAAUUUUUUUAUUAAUUUACGAUUUUUAAUAUUUUAUUUAAUUUACGAUUUUUAAUAAUUUUUUAAUUAAUUUACGAUUUUAAUAAUUUUUUAUUAAAUUUAAUUUUAAAAAAUAUAAGGAGGGGUAAAAGGUAAUUGGCCAUCCUAAGAAUGAAUGAGAGAGCUUUAACUCAAAAUUUUACUUUGCUUAUAAUAUAUAUGAUGUGUAAACUCCGAAAAAAUUGUUUCAUUUUAAAUGAUGUAAUCAAUUAUUAAUGCAAAUUUUUUGCAGAUUUUUAUUUUAUUAUUGGUUAAAUAGUUUUUCGGUUAAUGAUAUGAAUGAUAUUUUAAUUUAGAAAAUAAAAUAUUUUAAAAAAAAUUAUUUAGAAAGUCUCUCUCUUUCUAAAUUUAUUUGUAAGACAAUAUGUGGUAGGAGUACGAGGACCCAGACUGAAUUUGAAUUUACUAUAAUAGAGCUGUUGAAAAUUAGAGUUUAUAGCUAAGGAAGAUUUCAACGAUGAAAAAUGUCUUUUCCAUUAAAUAAAACGUCAAGAUUUAUUAAUCACUCUCAAAUAUGUUCUAGAAUAAUGAUGGUGCCGAAUGUUUAAUCUCAUUUGAAUUUACCCCAUCUUUUAGAUCUCCCUUAUUCAGUUUCAAGUCAACGUCCCCUUCGUUUACUUAUUCAUAGACAUGAUAUUGAGUCUGUAUCUCAUAUAUCUAUAUUAUAUGUAUAUGUAUUGAUAUAAGAUUGGAAUCACACCAAGUCUUAUAAUUCACAAGGUUGUCAAAGACAACAAGCUUUGCGGAAAUAGAUAUGAUGGUGGGAUGGAAGGUGGUGGGUUUGAUUGACUUUCUCAAUCGAUGGUGACUAACUCUCUCAAUCUGUGAACAAAAUAGAUUGUUUGAAUCUCACAAACAAGCUAAGUCGCAGCUUCUAUAGAACUAAGUGAAUCACACACUUAAUUCUAACGGAAAAAGAACAAUUUUUGCAAAGCUACACUUUGAAAGAAAACAAGAAUACUUAGUAUAUUUCUGGAUUGAAAGGUGAGUUUUUACAAUGGACUAAGAGGAUCUUAUAUAAUGCUCUUACACGUUCUAAAAUCCUAAAGACAAAAACACAAAUCAAAGCUAAUCAAAAACUAGCCGUUAGACUCUAAAUGAGAGAAUCUUGGCCAAAUAAGAAAAUGUGAUGAUGCCUUUGUAUCUGGACGGUUUUAGGGGAUAAGUGAGCUUCUCUGGAACAUUCUGAUCUUCAUAAAACACUCCCAAGUCGUAGCAUUAGCAUUCAAAGGAAAAGAGCCGGUGGAGAGUUAUGGCUCUAAGUGUGAAUGCAUCUAUAUAUGGCAAGUAAAGUUGCAGAAGGAUCCGCCUGAUUCUGUGUGUUCUGGUGCAUGGGAAGGUGUUUCUAAGCUUCCUUAGUUGCCUUAGAGUCUCUCCUGGGCGCCAAAGUCGGUUUUGUGUUGAAUUAAACCGGUUGACUCUCACUCAUAAAUGGCCCGGUUUGUCUCAAUUGAAGGUACAAUUGGAUCCGCCUGAUCCAAUGUGUGUUGGUGUACUUUAGGAUGUUGUGGAAAGCUUCUAGAAGUACCUCAGAGUCUCCUAGGCGCCACAGAUAUGUUUGAAGUCUCCAAAACCCAGAAGGUUGCAAAUAAGGCAAGUGGAGGUUCCAUUGGUUUAGAAAUUGAAUGUCUUCUAAACCAGAAUCGAUCUUGGUAUGAAUCAAAUUCCUUUUGGUUUAGUCAAAAUCCUCCAAUUAAGGCGGAUAUGUCCAAAUCGGAUAAGUUGAGGAUCACCCGAUUUAUAAACUUAAUAUCUCCUUCAUCUGAACUCCAAUUCAACUGAUUCUAUUUCGAGGCGUGCUUUGGUUGAGCUAAGAAUGUAAUCCAAGUGGUAAUUGGGCUGAAACACUUGUUCUUGGACUUCAUUUGGCCUGAACAAGGCCCAUGGCUCUUUUUGGGUUGAGCACAAUUUUCAAUGGAUUGGUUGCCUCCUCUUUGGUUUGGUCCGGUUAAGAUUGACUGGUCUAAGGGCUUCUUGGUGAUGGGAUAGGAGUCUAGAGAGAAAAAAUUAAUGAUAAUCGUCUCUCCUUCGCCAUUAACUUGUUCAACAAGGGAUUUGGCUAACGAAUCUCCAUCGAGGAAGUAGAGAAGUGUACAGUUGUCUUUGCUUGAUUGGUCCCCGCCUCCCUGGACCACCGAGAUAUUGAAGCCAUUGGGGUACCUUCCACGUAGGAGCCAAGUGGUUGUGACUUGUGUGACUUGCCAUCAGUUGACUAUUCAGUUUUAAGUCAACGUCCCCUUGGUUUACUUAUUCAUAGACUUCAUCUUGAGCCUCUAUCUCAAAGCUCACUUCAAUUUUUUUUUAAAAAAUUCAGUUUCUUUAUUUUUUUUCUCUGUUUGUAUACCAAUGGGGGGAGAGUCAAGUAAAUUGAGGGUGGAGUUGUUACAUAGUAAUUUAGACAUUUGGGUCAAGGAAGCUCAACACCUUCCUAACAUGGAUCAGUUCAAGAAGUACCAGAGGAACAGUACAAGUGAUCCUUUUGUGACUGUCUCUAUCUCAGGUGCUGAGAUUCCCACAACUUUUGUCAUCAGGAACAAUGAGAAUCCUGUGUGGAAGCAGCAUUUCGAUGUACCGGUGGCUCAUAGUGCUGCAGAAGUUGAGUUUGUGUUGAAAGACAGUGACUUGGUUGGAGCAAAGUUUAUUGGAUCUCUUAGAAUCCAAACCAAGGAGUUGUGUUCUGGGGAUACAAUAGAAGGAUGUUUUCCGAUACUUAACAGUAGCGGAAAUCCUUGUAAUCCAUGCGCUGUGUUGAGUUUGUCUAUUCAAUACACUCCAAUAGAAAAGAUGAGACUUUACCAAAUGGGUGUUGGUUUUAGGAACAAGUGUGUAGGAGUUCCCGGUACUUACUUCCCUUUGAGGAAAGGCGGUAGGGCUACUCUGUAUCAGGAUGCUCAUGUUGAUGAAGGUGCUCUCCCAAGUGUAGAUCUCGACGGAGGGAUGCAGUAUAUACAUGGAAAGUGCUGGGAAUAUAUGGCUGAUGCCAUUAGACAGGCAAAGAAGUUGAUUUAUAUCACAGGUUGGUCAGUCUACCAUCCGGUUAGGCUGGUUUGUCUUAAUAAUGAUCCGACCGAUGAUACGUUAGGGUGUUUGCUUAAAGAAAAAUCUCAGGAAGGUGUUAGAGUUUUGGUUUUGGUGUGGGAUGAUCCAACUUCAAGGAGCCUUCUAGGGCUCAAAACAGUAAGUUUCUAACUCUGUUUUCUGUUUCUCUUAACAUUCUAUUUGUUUUUCCUUUAAUAUAUAAGCAAAUCUCAAAUAAACUAUAAUGAUAAAGUAGAUUGACAUUUGGAUAGAGCAAAAGGUUUCUAUGAUCAUAACAUGUUCUAUAAUUUACUUGAUUUAGUAUUUUGUUAGAAUUUUUCAGAUAUAGGGUUGUGUUAGCUGCAUAUUAGACUUUCCUUCUCUGCUGUUAUGGAAUAAUAUCCCUAUCGUAAGUUGGAAGGGAUCUUAAAUAAUAGAUAAAUGACUUGAUCCAAUCUAUUCAUUACUAAUUGAUUUUGAAUUGGAAAACAUGUACUUUAACAUCUGCAUCACAAAUGAUUUUGCUUCAAUGAGAUCAUUUGACAUGUAACUACUAAAUGAAGCAACAAUACUUUUGUUGUUUUAAUGAAACUGAAGUUUGUGGUAUGCAGCUAGGAAUUAUGAAGACAAACGAUGAGGAGACUCGCAAGUUUUUCAAGCACUCGUUGGUGCGAGUUCUUACUUGUCCUAGAUCUGGUGGGAAAGGUCAAGGCCUUUGUAAGUUACAGUAUUAUCUAUUUUAUUAGAACAGAAGCGCUUUUAGUGUCUAUUUUCAAACACACCUAAAAUUUUUUAAAAUAUUUUAUUUUAUAUUAUAUUAAAUUUCGAAAAUUGGUUAUUAAUUUAGAUAUUGUUAGAUUUUCUUAAAUAUAGGUUAUAUUAAAUUUAAAUUUCAAAUAAUUCGAAUUUUUUUAAAUUAAUUUUAAUUACGAAGAUUUAGAUUCAAUUUAAUUUAAAAUUAAAAAAUUAUAAAUAAAUUUAUCACAAAAAAUUUAGAUAAUAUUUUAGUUACUUGAGAAUUUUUUGAAUACAAGAUAGAUUUAAUUUAAAAUUUUUAAUUUAAAUAAAAUUUUCAUAAUAACACAAAUAGUAAAUGAAUAUCUUAUUGUAUUUUAUCAUAAUCAAUCGGUCUAAAGUAUAAAAUAUUCAAUAUUGAUAAAUAUUUAUAUUAUACUAUAAUAUGAUGGAGCAAAUUAGAGUUAUGCAUUUAUAAUUACAGUCUUAUUCGGAUUAGUUUGUUAAAACAUGUAAAAUAUUAAAAAAAAAUUAAGAUAAUUAAACGGACCGAUUACCUAAUUCGUAGAUAUGUAGAUUGUUUAUGUGUAAAUCUAAAUUUACAUAAUAACAAAGUUUAUAAUUAACAUUAGAUUAAUAUAUACUUAAUUAACUCAUAUCUUUAUUCUACUAAUACAGAAAUUUAUACUAUUCAAAAUUAAAACAUGAUAACAAUUUUAUUGAUUUAGAAAAUAAAUAAUAAAAUAAAAUUCUAUUAAAAAAUUUUAUAUUAAUAAAAAGUUCUCGUGCGGAUGCAUAGAGUUGCGGAUGCAUAGAGUUAAAAUCUAGUUGCUAAUUAAACUUAAACUCCCAUAUGUAAUAGCUUCUUCUUCAAAAAUUUGAGUGACUCUCUUGAUGAUCAGGAAGCUGAAGCAGUCUACAGCCAUCAUCAGAAAACUUUGAUUGUAGAUGCUGAUGGAGCUCAGAAUCGAAGAAAAAUCAUAGCUUUUGUUGGAGGGCUUGACAUGUGCAAAGGACGAUUUGAUACUCCCAAACAUCCUCUUUUUAGGACACUAAAGACACUCCAUAAAGAUGACUUACAUAACCCGACUUUCGAGGUAACCAUUCAAAAAAAAUUCUGUUUGGUUGAUUCAGAUUCAUUUAUUCUUGAUCUGUGUAAAUAAUCUUGUAUUCGUAUUAGACUAGCGAAUGAUGGACCGAGACAACCAUGGCAUGAUAUGCACAGCAAGAUUGAUGGUCCAGCUGCAUAUGAUGUGCUUACUAAUUUCGAGGAACGGUGGCGAAAGGCUGCACAACAUAGAUGGAUUUUGAAACAUAUAAUGUCUUCAGAUGAUUCUUUGCUUGUUAGAGACAGAAUACCAGAACUCAUAGGAAUGUCCGAAGCAUGUUCCUGAGUCUUGGCAUGUUCAGGUCAUUCAACAUGUCUCACUCGCUAAUAUAUUAAUGCUAAAUAUAUGUGGUGGUGAAGAAAAGGAAUAUUAUUUCUGUCCACGUACUAAUCUUUUAGGUUUUUCGUUCCAUUGAUUCAAGCUCAGUCAAAGGGUUUCCAAAGGACCCAAAGGAAGCUACUGGAAGAGUAGCACAACUCUUCAACUUGUCACCCUCAAUCAUUUUCAUGUUGCUAUACUCUCUACAGUACUGAUUAUAAAUGUGUUAACAGAAUCUUCUAUGUGGGAAGAAUAUACUCAUAGACAUGAGCAUACACGCGGCUUAUGUUAAGGCCAUACGAUCUACUCAGCAUUUCAUCUACAUUGAGAACCAAUAUUUUCUUGGAUCAUCAUUUAACUGGGAAUCAAGAAAGGACUUACGUAAGGAACAGUAAGCUUUUGAAGGAGGCAACUCAAUUUACGCAUGCGGUAAUAACAAAAGAGCUUGGCAUUGCAGGUGUUAAUAAUCUAAUCCCGAUGGAAAUUGCACUUAAGAUUGCUAAUAAAAUUAGAGCAAGGGAGAAGUUUGCUGCUUAUAUUGUCAUUCCAAUGUGGCCAGAAGGUGACCCAACAACUAUAUAUAUGCAGAAUAUUCUAUACUAUCAGGUAAGUAAAUAAACUUUGUCCAUUGUUUGCUAAAAUUAUAUUUAAAGUCCAACAAUCAUCUUGCCUCCUUUAUACUGGAAUCAUUUUCAUGAUCUCUGCAGCGCAAGACUAUGCAAAUGAUGUAUCAAACUAUCUACAAGACACUUGAGGAAGUUGGACUUGAUGGUCAAUAUGAGCCACAAGACUAUUUGAACUUCUUCUGUCUUGGAACCAGAGAAGUUGCUGAUGUUGAUGGAACACUGCCUUUGAAUCCACCUAAGGAAAAUGCAAAUGCUUCACUGGUAUAUCUCGCUUUGAUGUUGAAAACUUGGAUCUCGGUUUGAUGGCCUCGUUUUCUCACUGAAACAACAAACUAAUCCAGGUGCAAGUUUUAGAGAGUCGAAGAUUCAUGAUAUAUGUUCAUUCCAAAGGGAUGAUAGUGGAUGAUGAAUUUGUCUUAAUCGGUUCCGCGAAUAUCAACCAGAGAUCCCUGGAAGGAACUAGAGACACUGAAAUCGCCAUGGGAGGGUAUCAACCACACCAUUCAUGGGCCAAGAAAGGAUCUCAUCCUCGUGGCCAGGUAAAGACUUCCACUUUUCAAUAUAUAUAAAUACAUAAACCCACCAAAAGCGAUGUCCUUAAAAACGUGGCUUAGACAUGGUUUUGUUGCAAUCACUUGCAGAUCUUUGGAUACAGAAUGUCGUUGUGGGCAGAGCAUCUAGGGUUUCUAGAGCAAGGGUUCGAAGUGUUGGAUAAGCUUUGAUUACUUGAAGCCCAAGAAGUCUUUAACAAGUCGGUUAAAGAUAAGAAGGGAAUAUUUCUUAUUAGUUUAGGAGUUAUCUAUUCUAUUAGGAAAAGUAAAAGUGUUAAGGGAAGAUGUCCUUGCACAAUAUAAAGGAUCUUAAUGAAGUUGCAUUAUGGUUAAGAAGAGAGAGUUGAGAGAUUAUUAUUCUUAGUUUUUGAGUGAGUUUUCUAAGCAGCAAUAAAGUAUUUAUGCCAUUAUAUUUGGUAUCAGAGUUUGAGUUAUAAGCGAUCCAAAACCCUAGCUAGUCAUAAAACACGAAGAUCAUUCGAUACAUAGAGAUGGGAGACCUAGUUCCGGUGGUUCAGAAGGAAUCGUCACCAACCUCUAUCCAAUGUCCCAUGUUGAUGACAACUAACUACACAGUAUGGGCCAUGAGGAUGAGGGUUUUACUGCGAAUCAACAAGGUGUGGGAGGCGAUUGAACCUGGUUCAACCGAUGCCAACAAGAACGAUAUCACAACAGGGUUAUUGUUUCAAGCCGUUCCGGAGAACCUGAUCUUGCAAGUCGGCGAGCAGGAAUCUCCAAAAGGAAUAUGGGACGCGAUCAAAGCUCAGAAUCUCGGAGCAUAUCGUGUCAAGAAAGCUCGUUUACAAACCCUAAUGUCCGAUUUUGAAAGAUUGAAGAUGAAGGAAUCGGACACAAUAGAUAGCUUUACGGGAAAGUUAUCGGAGCUAGCUUCUAAAGCAGCUUCUCUUGGCAAAACUAUUGAAGAAACAAAGUUAGUGAACAAGUUUCUUGAUAGCUUGCCAAGAAACAAAUUCAUCCACAUUGUCGCCUCACUUGAGCAAGUCUUGGAUUUGAAAACCACAAGCUUCGAAGAUAUAAUAAGGAGACUCAAAGCCUAUGAAGAAAGAAUCAAAGAUUCAGAAAAUCACGAAGAGACACAGGGGAAGCUGUUGUACGCAAACUCGGAACCAGUUAUGGCUCAAGAGGGAGAGGACGUGGAAGAGGAGGCAGAGGAAACAGAGGACAAGGCAGAGGAGGAAGGUUCAACUCGCAGGAUCGAUCAACAAACCAGAAUGACCAAAGCCAAGGGAAAGAGAAGAAGGAUAGGUCGAAGAUAAUUUGUUAUCAAUGCGAUAAGCCUGGACACUUCGCCUCUGCAUGUCCUGAAAGAACACAAAGAACUGAAGAAGCAAAUAAAGUGGAAACAGAAGAAGCAGAUGCUGCAGUUUAUAUGCAUGAAGUGGUGUUCUUAAACGAGGAAAAGCUGAUUCCAAGGAACUUUGAGAUCAACAAAGAAGAAGAUGGAGUCUGGUACCUCGACAAUGGAGCAAGUAAUCAUAUGAUGGGCAAUAUUGAAUACUUCUCCGAGCUCAAUAAGUGCAUCCAGGGUAAAGUGAAAUUCGGUGAUGGUUCUUGUGUGGAGAUAGGAGGGAAAGGAUCCAUCCUGUUUCAAGGCAAAACCGGCGAACAAAGGCUUGUCACAGACAUCUAUUACAUUCCAGACCUCAAGAGCAAUAUCCUAAGUUUAGGACAAGCUACAGAAGUAGGUUGUGAUGUAAGGAUGAGGCAAGAUUACCUUACUCUCAGAGAUCCAGGUGGGAGACUACUGGUGCGAGUAACUCGAGCAGCUAACAGACUUUACAAGAUAAAGUUGAAGAUUGGGAAAGCAGCAAGUUUACUCUCAAAGGUUGAAGAUGAGACAUGGAAGUGGCAUGCACAGUUAGGGCAUAUAAGUUUCAAAACACUGAAAGAUAUGUCCCAACACGAGAUGGUACAUGGUCUACCUGCAAUACGAGAAGAAAAGGAGCUGUGCGAGUCUUGUCUGGUCGGAAAACAAGCUCGACAAUCAUUCCCAAAGGCCUCCAUGUUCAGAGCUUCAAAACCUCUUGAACUACUUCACGCUGAUCUGUGUGGACCAAUAACACCACCAACUAUUGCCCACAACAGAUACGUAUUCGUGAUCAUUGACGAUUUUUCAAGGUACAUGUGGACUAUCUUGAUAAAAGAAAAGAGUGAUGUUUUUGAAAGGUUCAAAGCAUUUAAAAGCUUGGUGGAGAAGGAACAAAGAAGAUCGAUUCGCACCUUAAGGACAGAUAGGAGAGGCGAGUUCACAUCUAAGGAGUUCCUUGAGUUCUGUGAAGAAAGUGGGAUUAGAAGACAACUCACUGCUCCUUAUACACCGCAGCAAAACGGAGUGGUAGAGAGGAGAAACAGAACUUUGAUGGAGAUGACAAGGAGCAGUCUUAAAGCGAUGAAGGUACUCAAUUAUUUAUGGGGGGAAGCAGUUCGACAUUCUACUUAUAUAAUAAACAGAGUACCAACAAGAACGCUUGAAGGAAUGACUCCUUAUGAAUGCUUAAAGGAAAGAAAACCAAGGAUAAGUCACUUGAAGGUGUUCGGUUGUCUAGCUUAUGCAAAGGUGGAGGCAGCUAACCUUAAGAAACUAGAUGACAGGUCGCAAACACUAGUGCAUCUUGGAAUAGAACCUGGCUCCAAAGCAUAUUGUUUAAUCCUACAACACAAAGGAUAGUGGUGAGCAGGGAUGUGUUGUUCGAUGAAAAAACAGAUUGGAAUUGGAGUACAGAAAAGGAUGGAGUGCAGAGAAACCCAGGAAUGUUUCAGAUGAGAUGGGGAGAGGUGAUUGAUGCAGUAAUCGCAUAUGAUCAAGAAGGAGAAGAAAACAGCGAGUGUCAAGCGACACCAUCAUCAGUGUCGAGCGAUACUACUGAACGCGAAUGUCGCGCGACACCAUUAACAGUGUCGAGCGACACCACCAAUCCUGAAGAAGAUCAUACCCUACCGAAUGAAACUGAGAACAGAGAAGAGGAGCAACCAAUACGAAGAUCAAGUCGUCCAGUACGAAAACCAGGGUAUCUCAAUGACUUCGUCAUGCAAGCAGCAGUAGAAUGCGAGAUCCUCUUACUACUAGUCAAUGAUGAGCCAAGGACGUUUGCAGAUGCAAAAGACUCAAAAGAAUGGAGACAAGCAUGUAAGGAGGAAAUCGAUUCUAUCAACAAAAACAGAACUUGGCUUCUAGUUGACAAGCCAAGUGGAGCAAAAAUCAUUGGAUUGAAGUGGAUAUUCAAGAUUAAGAGGAAUGCAGAUGGUACUAUCAAUAAUAAGUACAAGGCGCGACUUGUGGCUAAAGGAUAUGUACAAGAAUCUGGCAUAGACUUUGAUGAAGUCUUUGCACCUGUAGCUCGGAUCGAAACUAUAAGACUGUUGGUCGCAUUAGCAGCUUCACAUGGAUGGGAAAUUCAUCACCUUGAACAUGGAGAACUAAAAGAAGAUGUUUAUGUGAGUCAACCGGAAGGAUUUGAAGUUAAAGGAGAAGAGCACAGAGUGUAUAAGCUUUCAAAGGCCUUGUAUGGCCUAAGACAAGCCCCAAGAGCUUGGAACACGAAGCUGGACCAGAUACUGAAGGAAAUGAAGUUUCUCAAGUGUACAAAGGAGUCCUCCGUGUAUCGCAAGCAAGAGGGAGAGUCUUUACUCAUCGUUGUUAUCUAUGUGGAUGACCUCUUUGUAACAGGCAACAGCAUUGCAGGAAUAAAUGAGUUCAAGACAGGGAUGUCAUCUAAGUUUGAGAUGUCUGAUCUGGGCAAACUCACCUAUUAUCUCGGCAUUGAGGUUUAUCAAGGAGUAGAUGGUAUCGAAAUCAAACAAGAGGCUUAUGCAAAAAGGAUAUUGAAAGAAGCCGGUUUGGAAAAUUGCAAUCCAACUCAAGUACCUAUGGAGUUUGGUCUAAAGGUAUCUAAGGCACAAGAUGAAACAGAAAUAGACCCAACUAACUACAGGAGAAACGUUGGAUGCUUAAGGUACUUAUUGCACACUAGACCUGAUUUGGCAUUUUCAGUUGGUGUAGCAAGCAGAUAUAUGCAGAGUCCUCGCAAGUCACAUGGCGAAGUAAUGAAGCAUAUUCUGCGAUAUCUCAAGGGAACAAGUUCAUAUGGUUUGAGGUUCAAGCGAGGAGGAUCAAAGAAGAUUGUUGGCUUUAGUGACAGCAGCCACAACAUUGAUCAAGACGAUGGAAGAAGCACCACAGGUCAUAUGUUCUAUUUCGGUUCUGCACCAAUUACAUGGUGUUCGCAAAAGCAGGAAACAGUUGCACUUUUAACUUGUGAAGCAGAGUUCAUGGCAGCAACAGAAGCAGCUCGUCAAGCAAUCUGGCUCCAAGAACUCUUAAGCGAGAUUACAGGAUGGAAGACUGAAAAAAUUGUCAUUAAGAUUGACAACCAAUCUGCUAUUGCUCUCACAAGGAAUCCGGUGUUUCACGGCAGAAGUAAACAUAUACACAAGUGCUACCAUUUCAUAAGAGAGUGCAUUGAGAAUGGACUAGUUGAUGUGGAGCAUGUACCAGGAGUGGAGCAGAAGGCCGAUAUUCUCACUAAGGCUUUGGCGAGAAUCAAGUUUGCAGAGAUGAGGAACUUGAUUGGUGUUGGAGAGUUGUCCAAGACAGAGUCAAAGCUUAAGAGGGAGAAUGUUGGAUAAGCUUUGAUUACUUGAAGCCCAAGAAGUCUCUAACAAGUCGGUUAAAGAUAAGAAGAGAAUAUUUUUUAUUAGUUUAGGAGUUAUCUAUUCUAUUAGGAAAAGGAAAAAUGUUAAGGGAAGAUGUCCUUGAACUAUAUAAAGGAUCUUAAUGAAGUUGCAUUAGGGUUAAGAAGAGAGAGUUGAGAGAUUAUUGUUCUUAGUUUUUGAGUGAGUUUUCUAAGCAGCAAUAAAGUAUUCUUUCAACAAAGUUCUUAAGUGUGUUUAUGCGAUUAUACGAGGAACCAGAGAAGAUGGAAUGUGUGAGACGAGUUAGGGAAUAGAGUGAGCUGAAUUGGAGUCAGUAUGUAGCAGAUGAGGUCACAGAGAUGAGGGGUCAUCUUCUUAAGUAUCCAGUUCAAGUCGAUAGAACAGGGAAAGUGACUUCUCUUCCUGGAUGCAAGACAUUCCCAGAUGUAGGUGGCAAGAUCAGAGGCACGUUCUAUAUCCUCAAAUAAAACAUCACCAUCUGAAACUAACAUUGUUGUGUCGGUGUCAACAUUUGUUCUUUGUUUCUUCCUCGUCAAGAAACCUCUCUGAGUGUGAUCUGAAAUGAAUAAUAGUGUGCAUGCCUUUAGGGUUUAUUUUGUGCUUUUACGAUUUACGUACGCGAUGUAAAAUUAUUCAUUACAAUGUUUCGAUAUUGCAGUUGAUGU
rnacentral:lncRNA from 1 species